rnacentral:tRNA from 1 species
AAAGUUUUAAGUUAAAGAAACUAAAGACCUUCAAAGUCUUAAAUAAAUAUAUGAUUUAAACUUUA